GAAAUUGUCGGGAGGGAAGCGGA
rnacentral:siRNA from 1 species